rnacentral:rRNA from 1 species
UACGUAGGGUGCAAGCGUUGUCCGGAAUUAUUGGGCGUAAAGAGCUCGUAGGCGGUCUGUCGCGUCGGAUGUGAAAACUCGGGGCUCAACCCCGAGCCUGCAUUCGAUACGGGCAGACUAGAGUUCGGUAGGGGAGACUGGAAUUCCUGGUGUAGCGGUGAAAUGCGCAGAUAUCAGGAGGAACACCGGUGGCGAAGGCGGGUCUCUGGACAGUUCCUGACGCUGAGGCACGAAGGCCAGGGGAGCAAACGGG